rnacentral:lncRNA from 1 species
GACUUUUCAGCUCCUGACCGGGCCUAUCAGCAGCCUCCUAAUUCGAUCACUGCUCACUCCAGGAAACAGUCACCAGGAAGGAGGUCCGGCGCAGGCGGGAAGCAGCGGCCGCGCAGUGCCCUGGUGCUGUGAACUUCCCCUGGCUCGCCAGAGCCCUGCAAAAAUAAAUCUCCGGAGAAAUAGAUUUUGAAGAGGAAUUCGGCACAUAGAUCUUCUGUCAGCGGAGCAGACUCUGCCUCAGCCGUUUUUCAGGCUCGCUGAGUAUCCAGAAAUACAUCUAUUUUUACAUGGCUCUCUAGCGAGAGUUCCUCUUGCCUGGAGGGGUAAGAGGCCGUGGAAGGAGUCAGAGGAUGGGAGAGGAGAGGGGUGCGGGCACUGACUGGAGAAGGACAGGGAGGUGACCGUGCAGUGCUGGUCUUCCCGGUUUUCCUGCAUCCUGCAGGACCUUGGGUUUGCCAACCAAGUUUGGGUUUGCCUCGUCGCUAUGAAGGCUCUGUGUGUCCCUUGGCCCACCGGACCCAUCUUAGUAACAGGCCUGAUGUCCCCGGAGAAGACAAUACACUACGGCAGUUUGGCGCGCGCGCGCACAAAGAGCUGCAGCACCGCCCGGGGCUCACUGUUUUGUUCUCGGCCUAGCUGUCGCGGUGAACAGCAGGAGCCAUGGACCAGAUGGCUGGAGGGAGGUGCGAGCGGAUCGCACUGGCAGGCAAUUAGGCCUCAAACAAUGGCCCGUGAAAUGUCAGAAGUGGCAAGGAAGGGUCGUGGUGGAACAGCGGGAUGACAACCCUAGCCCCACAUCAUAUUCUUAUUAGCGGAGGUUAUUACAAUAGUAAUCAGCGUGCUCCAGGCGCAAAUUGGGUUUUUUGCUCCACUGCCACCAAUUUAGAAAACCAUUAAUGGCAAGAUAAGGCCCCCGUGGCUCACACCGGGCCAAGCCUGGGAACCUGCAGCCAACUCUCUGCUCAUGAACCUACACGCCCAUGCUCCAGGGGGCGCUCGAGCAAGCAUCCUGGCUCUUCUGGGACGACAGAGAAGAAAAAGCCAACCGCUUUCUAGGAGGUGCUGUACCUGCGGGACCAUAGAACUUUCUCAAAUGUGAAUCCUAUACAACAGUCACUUGGAUGAGACAACCUCAUGGAACAAAACAUUAAAGCCAAGUUUGCCACUAGAGCCAGAGCGCCAUAUACUGUGCCCUUGAGUCCUGCUUCAAGCCAGUCUGCUAGAAACGCUUAGGUGAAUCUAUAGCUCUUAGGCAGGAGGUUGCGAUCAGACACAAGCCCUGG